rnacentral:lncRNA from 1 species
UUAAAUCUAAAAUUAAAAUUUUUAGAUCAAUCACGAACUGUAGGUUGUCCUGUUGUAAGGUUUACCCCUUACAGUGCAAAGGUUGUCCUAGUUUGUGUAGAUCUAUCUUUAAUCAUAAAUUUGUUAGAUGUGAUCUAGAAUAAAUUUAUGAUUUAUUAAAUUUAAAAGAUAUUUAAAUCUAAAAUAAAAUCUCUUUAUUAAUAAUU